ACUUAAAUUGAAGAGUUUGAUCAUGGCUCAGAUUGAACGCUGGCGGCAGGCCUAACACAUGCAAGUCGAGCGGUAGCACAGAGAGCUUGCUCUCGGGUGACGAGCGGCGGACGGGUGA
rnacentral:rRNA from 5 species